rnacentral:rRNA from 1 species
UGAACGCUGGCGGCAUGCCUAAGACAUGCAAGUCGAACGAGGUGGCCCGCUGAUUAAUUUGAAAAUGGAGUGCUUGCACAAGUUGGAUUAUUAUGACGCGGAUCUUCCACCUAGUGGCAGACGGGUGAGUAACACGUGGGUUACCUACCUUUAAGUUGGGGAUAACAGUUGGAAACGAUUGCUAAUACCGAAUAAGAUACUCGUAUUGAAAGGAGCUUUCGGGCUUCGCUUAGAGAUGGGCCUGCGGCGUAUUAACUUGUUGGUGGGGUAACGGCCUACCAAGGUUGCGAUGCGUAGCCGAACUGAGAGGUUGAUCGGCCACACUGGGACUGAGACACGGCCCAGACUCCUACGGGAGACAGCAGUUAGGAAUAUUCGUCAAUGGGGGAAACCCUGAACGAGCAAUGCCGCGUGAAGUGAUGAAGGUCUUUGGAUUGUAAAACUCUGUUGUAUGGAAAAAACGGCUAGGUUAGGAAAUGAACUUAGUGUGAUGGUACCAUACCAGAAAGCCCCGGCUAACUACGUGCCAGCCGCUGC